rnacentral:tRNA from 1 species
CGCGCGGCUGGCCGACGGGCUGGAGCGCGACGCGAAGGACGCCGCCGGGCGCGGCGGACUGGCGGCGGCGGUCUCGGCGCUGCUGCACGC